UUCGAUUGUUUCAUUCAACAU
rnacentral:piRNA from 1 species